GGAAAUUUAUCAUUUUCACUGCAUAUUGCGCGCCUGAUUUCACUCCGGGACUUAACGAAACCGAAUUCGAUUCAGACAUUUUAUUUUUGUGUGUCCUCAAGCUCGGUGAUCGUGCCUCACAAAAUUAAUAACUGUUUUCACGAGAAAAACGUAAUAAAAUAAUAAAUAGUUAUUUGGGAGCGAGAAUGUGUUGCUAUCGAAUCCCACCCAAAGCUUCCGGCCGUUGGAUCUGGAGUGAAAUGACGAACAUCAGCGGAAAAAUUGCCAACGGGAUUUUC
rnacentral:lncRNA from 1 species